rnacentral:lncRNA from 1 species
AAAGCUUCAACAUACGCCGGCCUCUACGGCUGGGAAUGCAUAUCGAUCUGUUCGAUUCGAUUUUAAAAUUAUCAGUUUGAUGUUAAACCGUUAACUGGGAUAUUGAACAUUUUGGCUUUUGAUUACGAUUCAUUAUAUAGGUUUGUUCAUCAAUUUGGGCCUCUUAUCAGGCCUCCUAAUUGGGUUUUUGAAAGUUUUUGGGGAUGGUU